GAUCAUCAGUGUAGCCUAGGCCUAUAAAACGCAAGUGGAAACUUGUAUUGGCCUUCAUUCCUGCCGAGAUGUCAACCGAAAGAACACCUCAUGACCCGCACAUUAUUUUUCGCUAUUUACGGGACCAUGCCUAUCCAGCUCGUUGCAGUCUUUCGAGGAAGCGGUCCAUCCGCCGAGCAGCAAAGAACAAUUUUAAGCUUGAACGCGGUGAACUCAUGUAUCGGCGACUGAAAAAGAAGAUAAACGACGUCCCAGGCACUUACGAUGAUGCUGACCAAGAUGGGGAAUUACACGAAAGUCCUUGGCGCAAGGUCCUUAUGACGCCAAAACAGAUCGAUGACGCGCUUGCGAAUCUCCAUUCGUCGGCCUUAGGUGGGCAUUUAGGAAGGGAUAAAACCUUGGACAAAGUUGAAAAGCGCUAUUGGUGGCAAAACCUUGUAGCCGACGUUAAUGCCUUUCUGAAGAAAUGCCCAAGAUGCCAGCUGGUAAACCGCAAAAUGAAUA